CCACAGGAAGCAUGGCUUUUCUGCCCAAAACCAGUUCCACAGAGUCUUCUAUCCUGGAGAUAAUUGUGAAGUAAUCCAAUUAUCUCCAAAGACAGAAGCAAAACUCCAUUGAACACAUGGCAGCAAAAAGACAGUAAAAUACAAUAACAUACACAAGGUUACAAUUAUGACAUAAAAUACAGACAUGCAACAUAUGCCCAGAUAGCUUAGGUCUGAGCGCACAUUAUUACUGAAUGGCGCUCAGAGCACACACAUACAGUUCAAUU
rnacentral:lncRNA from 1 species